UGCGUAGGUGGUGAGGUAAGUCGGAUGUGAAAUCUCCGGGCUCAACCCGGAAAUGGCAUUGGAAACUACCUUGCUGGAGGAUUUGAGGGGGGAGUUGGAAUACUUGGUGUAGCAGUGAAAUGCGUAGAUAUCAAGUGGAACACCAGUGGCGAGGGCGAAUCCCUGGAAAAUACCUGACACUGAGGCACGAAAGCUAGGGGAGCAAACA
rnacentral:rRNA from 1 species